rfam:Mus musculus chromosome 14, GRC primary reference assembly.
UAGGGAGGAUGGGGUUUGGAGCCCCUCCCUGAACCCAGGGUAACUCUAAAGGUGGAGGGAAA